rnacentral:rRNA from 1 species
AUUGAACGCUGGCGGCAGGCCUAACACAUGCAAGUCGAGCGGAUGAAGGGAGCUUGCUCCUGGAUUCAGCGGCGGACGGGUGAGUAAUGCCUAGGAAUCUGCCUGGUAGUGGGGGAUAACGUCCGGAAACGGGCGCUAAUACCGCAUACGUCCUGAGGGAGAAAGUGGGGGAUCUUCGGACCUCACGCUAUCAGAUGAGCCUAGGUCGGAUUAGCUAGUUGGUGGGGUAAAGGCCUACCAAGGCGACGGUCCGUAACUGGUCUGAGAGGAUGAUCAGUCAACAUGGGAAUUGGACAAGGUCCAAACCCCUACGGGAGGGAGCCGUGGGGAAUAUUGGACAAUUGGCGGAAGCCUGGACCCACCAUGGCGGGGGGGGGAAGAAGGGCUUCGGGUUGUAAAGCCCUUUUAAUGGGGAAGAAAGGCAGGAGAUUAAAAACCCGCUGUUUUGACGGUACCCAAAGAAUAAGCACCGGCUAACUUCGUG